AUCCAUGUGAAGAGUCCCAAACAGGACGAAAUGCACAUUCUGAAU
rnacentral:hammerhead_ribozyme from 1 species